rnacentral:rRNA from 1 species
UACGUAGGGGGCAAGCGUUGUCCGGAAUCAUUGGGCGUAAAGAGCGUGUAGGCGGCUCGGUAAGUCCGCUGUAAAAGUCAAAGGCUCAACCUUUGAAUGUCAGUGGAUACUGUCGGGCUCGAGUCCGGAAGAGGAGUGUGGAAUUCCUGGUGUAGCGGUGAAAUGCGCAGAUAUCAGGAGGAACACCAAUGGCGAAGGCAGCACUCUGGGACGUGACUGACGCUGAGACGCGAAAGCGUGGGGAGCAAACAGG